AAGGGAAGGGUGAAGUAUUUCUGCAGGCAGCUUUCCCCACUGAUGACCCUGGCUCCACUCAUCUGGAGUUGGGUAAUGAGGAAGGGCUACAGAGCAAGAACUUCAUUUCUGUGCUUGGUGUUCUUGCUGGGGUCAAAGUAAACUGGCUUCUGCUUCUGGAGGCUUGCAGCAUUAAUUCAUCUUCUUGAUCCCACACAGUUUAUGGGAGUCUUUUGUGGCUGUCUGCAGUCCUGGCUUCGUGACAAGGAGAACAGGAGCCCUGACCUGAUCUGAGGACAGUCAGACUGCUUAUCCAGAUGCUCCUUUUUAUGAAGUACCCAGACCUCCAACAGCUAUGCAAAGCUAGGAAGCAGUAAAUUGGAACCACUAUUGCAGAUUUGAGUUUGCCUAAAAUAAUUUUCUCUGCUGGAUGGAACAGAUUAUUACAAGCUCUUGAGAGAACACCUAAUCUAGAGCCUCCGGUGGGGACUGCUUAUCAAGUGCGAGCCUCCUGGCUGUGUAAAGGAUUCACCUCUAAGUCCUUGUCUCAGAAGGAACCUCAACUCCUUUUAUUCCUCUAAAUUACCAUAAUUGUGUGUCUUGCACUUGUAACAUUUUCAUGUUAAUGCUGUAAUUUUCUCCUUUCUCUUUUUGGUUGAAUUGGUUUCAAGGCCUUUUGAAGUGUUUCCUAUUAAAUAACCUGGGAGGAUUUUUUUUUUUUAUUUUAUUUAUUUUUUUUCCUUGAGGUACUAGUAUUAGGUGAUGGCUGAAGCAUUUCUGGUGAUAAAUGUUUUUUGGUGUCACCUCUGAAAUGCUGAUAGUGGAAACUUGGUGUUUAAAUGAUCAUUAAGAGUUAAGAAUCUAAAGGAAAGACUUUCCAGUGUAUAAAAUUUGAAAUAAGUCCAUAUCUUGUUAACACAAUUAAC